rnacentral:rRNA from 1 species
GUAGGGAGCGAGCGUUGUCCGGAAUUACUGGGUGUAAAGGGAGUGUAGGCGGGAUGGUAAGUUAGGUGUGAAAUGCGGAGGCUCAACCUCCGAGCUGCACUUAAAACUGCUGUUCUUGAGUGAAGUAGAGGUUGGCGGAAUUCCCAGUGUAGCGGUGAAAUGCGUAGAUAUUGGGAGGAACAUCAGUGGCGAAGGCGGCCAACUGGGCUUUUACUGACGCUGAGGCUCGAAAGCGUGGGGAGCAAA